AUACGGAGGAUCCGAGCGUUAUCCGGAUUUAUUGGGUUUAAAGGGUGCGUAGGCGGCCUUUUAAGUCAGCGGUGAAAGUCUGUGGCUCAACCAUAGAAUUGCCGUUGAAACUGGGGGGCUUGAGUAUGUUUGAGGCAGGCGGAAUGCGUGGUGUAGCGGUGAAAUGCAUAGAUAUCACGCAGAACCCCGAUUGCGAAGGCACCCUGCCAAGCCAUGACUGACGCUGAUGCACGAAAGCGUGGGGAUCAAACAGGAUUAGAUACCCUGGUAGUCCACGCAGUAAACGAUGAUCACUAGCUGUUUGCGAUACACUGUAAGCGGCACAGCGAAAGCGUUAAGUGAUCCACCUGGGGAGUACGCCGGCAACGGUGAAACUCAAAGGAAUUGACGGGG
rnacentral:rRNA from 1 species